UAAGAGACUUGCUAAAACUCGUCAUGUCAUUUGGUUAGCAACUACUUGGAGCAUAUGGCGUACUCGGAAUAAUAUUGUGUUUCGAGGAGAUGUGUUUAAUUUGGAUGCUUUGAUUUGAUAGAUCAAAUUAUCUUUAUUUCUUGGUUUUGAUUUAUAGGUCGUUUGGGAGUUAAUACUUCUUUUGUAUUUUCUGAUUGGUGUAACGAUCCGUUAGUUUGC
rnacentral:lncRNA from 1 species